ACACGUAGGGACCAAGCGUUGUUCGGAAUUAUUGGGCGUAAAGAGCUCGUAGGUGGUUCCGUAAGUCGGAUGUGAAAACUCAAGGCUCAACCUUGAGACGCCAUCCGAUACUGCGGUGACUUGAGUUCGGUAGAGGAGUGUGGAAUUCCUGGUGUAGCGGUGAAAUGCGCAGAUAUCAGGAGGAACACCGACAGCGAAGGCAGCACUCUGGGCCGAUACCGACGCUGAGGAGCGAAAGCGUGGGGAGCAAACAGGAUUAGAUACCCCUGUAGUCC
rnacentral:rRNA from 1 species